GAUCUGCAGCCCUAAUCUACCCCCAACAUCGAAGAGGUCUACACCGAAACUUACCGCCGAGAUCGACAGCUCCUCCUUACCGCCAAGACUGACAGCUCCUCCUUCACCAAACUGUAACAACAGCUCUCUCACACCCAACCCAACCCCAGAUACACAACAAACCUGAUCGAGAAGAUCGUACGGACGAAGAUAUACAACAGCACCUAAUGGAAGGAGCAGUGCUUCGGUUUGCGGCGGAGACUCUGGUGGACAAGGCCAUGGAGCUCGACCACAUCGGCGGGACCUUUGGAGGUAAUCGAAAACACACACCGUUCAUUGAUGAAGAUGCUUCAGAUGCAACAGAAGAAGGAAAUUGUCAUCGAAUUCAUUAAGAACGACGACUACGAGUGAGUUUUUAUGUCUAAUUUAUUGGUUGACUAUUGUAAUUUGUGUAUUUACUUGCUUAUAUGGUUUGCCAAUUUGUUGGGUAGAAAUUGAGUUGAGGAAAAGGAUUGGAAAUUUGGGAUUAUGUGGUUUUGCUGAUAAUAGUGUGGUCUAGAGGUCAGUAUCUUGUAUAGAUAAAGCUCAGUGAUUUAAGUAGAACAUUACAGAAACAAGUUGAAAUGAGAGGAUUGGAAAUGUUUGGAUAUAGUGGAGUACAAAAGCACUGGUCUUGCUUACUAAUGUAUAGCUUCUUAUGCAUUAGAAAGAGGAAUUGGUGUGAUUUUAGUUUAGGAAAGUUUUAAUUAGGCUCUUACUUGCAUUUCAGAUAUGUCCAUGUGCUUGGUGCAUUUACUUGUGUAUUACAGGUAACGAUACUGAUGUUUACCAGUACCUAGAGCCUUUGUACAAUGAGAAGUAAAUUGGCUGAUGGACCUGGAAAGUAUUGCUUUCUUUGCUGUCCAAGAACACAACAAGCGACAGCAAGAUGGGUCGGAGUGCCAAUUCAUAGUCCCUGUAGAAGCUUUGCUGCUGUGAAGUUAUCAAAGGAUCAAGCACCAAAGAAGUGAGCUUUUAUGCCCCUCAUCAGAACCAAUUGAUUUACCCAUUUCCGGCUAAUGUUUAGUGUCUGUCUUAGAACUCUAUUUAUACAUAUUCAGUAUUGUAUUUAGCUAAUGACAUGUUUAGGAAGAAGAGGCUGGAUGAAGUGUGCCUUGAAAGGUAUGAACAAUAUAGCCAAACCUACGUACAGUCAUGGUUCUUACAAGGAUCGUAUAUACAAUUGAAUUACAGAACCCUCCUUCAAAUGUGAUACUCCCAUACAUUGUCUUGUACAAAAGCUAUUAUACAAUGUAGACCGGUGAUAGGAGUUAACUUAGUUAUUCAUGUUUGGUGGUGUAGGUGAAGUAGUAGUGGAUGCAAAGGCGGUCAACAAAGCUGAUACUCCAAAUUUGAUAAAUCUUUUGUAAAGAUUAUGGCUGAAAUCCCCAAAUCUUACUAACAUAAUGGAGACAGAUUUUAUGCUUGCAGGGAUCGUCAGAUGGACCUGACCAGUAUAUUCUUUCCAAUCUCUUGCAUUGCUCAUUUUCAUUCCCAUCAAAACUCUUACAUCAGAGGUUUCUUUUAAUGCCCCUUUCAGAUAUGUUGCAAUUAUGAAUGCAAUAUUUUCUGCACAGCGUUCAAUGGUAUGCAUUUGAUCCCUUUAUUAUUACUUAGUAAUCCUAUUUAAAAAGUUUAUUAGGUUGCAAAGCAUAUAUAAUUUUUAUUGUUUUUUACCAUAUACCUUUUUUAGUGUUUUACAACUGACUUGGCUCUGACAGCCAUUCUUAUGAAUUUUCUGAAAAUGAAGCAAGUAAUAACUUCUUUUUUAUCCACUGAUGUAAAGUAGUGACUUACUAUAAUGGAUGAUCUUUGAAUUUACUUUUAUAUCAGUGAAAUGAAUUUAAACCCAAAGAUGGUCAUAAUCGUCUGACCUUCCAUCCCAUGUGCCCGCCCCCAUCUCUCUAUCUCUGUCCCUCUCUGUGUGUUAUCAUUAGGUGUCUCACUUUGACGAAAUGAAAAUGUCAAUUUUGUUCUACUUUUUCAGAAAUCUAAACUUUGCCCUAAAGUUGUAAUAUGUUAUUGCCUAUAUUUAACUACUUUAUCUGUUACUAGCAACAUUCGAUUCUUGAAUUUGCAGCUCCGGAGCAGUCUAAUGUAUCAGUCAUUUGCUUCAUUUGCAGGUUCCUGUAGACUCUUGCUAUAUAGGCUCUCAUAACUCUGCCUUCCUACAGCAGGUAGAGAGGGUUUUUGUCUCUGUGAUAGAUUGUUGCAGAUUUUGAUAUGCGGUUAUGUCUAUUCUUAUGCUGGUUUUACUGAAUGCUUCUGAUUGAUGAGUAACAGGCUUCAUACAUUACUGGUGGUGUAUAUCUGAAGCCCCAACAACCAGAUGGACUGCUUCAAUAUCUUACGGUAGUUUAAGAACUUAAUUGGGUGAUGUGCAAUAUGUUAUUUUAACAUACUUUGCUUCAUACCUUCUGUUGAGUGAGGCCAAACAAAAUUUGCCGAAGCUGAGUAAGAAUUUUAACAAGUUUGAUUAACGAGGUUCAUCUGCUCAGUUAAGCCUCCAAAUAGUAAGCUUUAGGUUCUUAUAACAUCCUCUCGUUAUUGUUUUACAGAGAUCUCAGCUUCAACAAAUUGGAAGGAAGUAUUCCUGAUCUUAAAGAUCUUAAAUGUGCAACUAAUUUAGAAGAUAUACAUAAGUUGAUGCUUAUAUAUCAUGUAAUAGAGGACUCAGUUCUAGUGUCCUUAAAUCCAUUUUUUCUAGUAGUGAACCUUGGCUGGUCUUAGAAUUGUGAUUUUUGGUUGGUUAUAGAUGAUGAGUUUCAUAAUAUUUUUCAAUUUAUGAUAUUUGCUGCA